rnacentral:lncRNA from 1 species
UCACUCAGCUCCUCCCACACCCAGAACCCUUCCUUCCCCAGCUGUUGGGGAGCAGAGUCCAGCUCCUCCACUGGAGUGUCUGGCUCCCCAGGGCUCAGCCUCUGACUCAGCCCACAGCUGCCCUUCUGGGGAAUUGCUCCCCACCCACAGCACAGCAGGCCAGGGCUUUCCUCCUGCAGAGGACCCCCUGGACAGCACACACAGCCCAGGAAGAAGAGAGGGGGCAACUGGCUGUCAGCAUUGCCUCUGUGUAACUGCAGUGACCUCUUCAUGGCAUCAGAGAUGUGGCCUCCCAGUGCAGUGGAGUCUUGGCCCGGGCACCUGCUGGGAACCAGAGGGAAUGGAGGAGCUGGGAGCAGUCUCUGCAGACAGGAGUGGACCAAGGGCUUGCUGUGCUUGGGCUACUGUGUGAAAUGCCCUGAAACUGGGAUG